AGACCUGCCUUCUACAAGUGCUAAGGGCUGCACAAAGAAGCAAUGGAGAUCAAACCCAGGAAAUGGCAAUUCCACAAUACUACAGGAAUUUUCUCCCAAAUCUGAGACUCUGAAUUGUAUCUGCAUCCAGUCCGGACAUAAAUGGAUGGAGAAAUUCACAGUUAUGAUUGAUGGACUAUACAGGAAGAUUGGAACAAGAUAUCAGUGGAUGAAUUACUCGCUGGAUUAAAAUGUCCUUAGAUUCCAAGCAAAUGAAAGUAGGACGUAAUCCUCGCAUCUUGUUGGCAAGGACUUGUAUUGGAGAACCAACACUCAUAACUUUCCUGUAGAAGCUGAAUUUUUCAAAGGAAAUAUCUAAACCGAGGUUAUUUCAUCUUCUUCCAUGGCUUCUGUUACCUGUGCCCUAAAAGAAGGAAAAGUGUUGUUUCCUCAGAAGAAGUGGUUUCUGGUUUGGACAGCUAAUACAUCUAUGUUCUCCCAAAGAUGAUCGAAUAAGCAUAUGAAAAGUAAACAACCUCAGAAGAUGUCUGAAAGUUAAUUUUGUCACUCUGUAUUCAGCUGCAGUUUAUUUUUUGGCAAUAUGUUUGUUUUGACCCUUUAUAUAUUUUAGAAAUGUUUGAUCUCUGAAAGCAUUAAUUUUGAAUUAAUGACUUCCCUUAAGCCUGGAAUUUGCUAGGUUUGCACUAAAAGUUUUCUUUUAAUUGAGCCAUCAACAUCCAUUGUUUCAGAAAACCGGUGUUAAUGAUUUUUAUUAUGGAGUCUUUAAUAUAAUGCAUACUAAUAUCUUUAUUAAAUGCAUGUUUUAUGGGAAAUGGGAAUUACAUUUUACUUUAUGCAUUUCAAAUAUUUACUGCAAUGACACUCGCAUUAUUAAAACAGUCUGGCCAAAAUGGAGUCUUUAUUUUAAGCCAGCAAGAGCACUUUCCAAUGACUAAUGAGAUAUUUCACUAGAUAAUAUACUAGUUCUUGGUUGUAGAAAGAUAUGUUGGUUUAAUUUCAGAACAUGAUCUGAAUAGGCUGAAGAACACAGAAGCUCAUCCUCCAUUCAUCUAAAGCAACAUGGCAUUAAUAGGUCACACCGUUUA